CACGUAGGGGGCAAGCGUUGUCCGGAUUUAUUGGGCGUAAAGAGCUCGUAGGCUGUUCGAUAAGUCGGGUGUGAAACCUCCAGGCUCAACCUGGAGACGCCACCCGAUACUGUCAUGACUAGAGUCCGGUAGGGGAGCGUGGAAUUCCUGGUGUAGCGGUGAAAUGCGCAGAUAUCAGGAGGAACACCAGCGGCGAAGGCGGCGCUCUGGGCCGGUACUGACGCUGAGGAGCGAAAGCGUGGGGAGCGAACAGG
rnacentral:rRNA from 1 species